UACGGAGGGUGCAAGCGUUAUCCGGAUUCACUGGGUUUAAAGGGUGCGUAGGCGGCCCUGUAAGUAUGGUGUGAAAUCUCCCGGCUUAACUGGGAGGGUGCGCUAUAGACUGCGGGGCUCGAGUGUGGGAGAGGAAAGUGGAAUUCCUGGUGUAGCGGUGAAAUGCGUAGAUAUCAGGAGGAACACCGGUGGUGUAAACGGCUUUCUGGACCAUAACUGACGCUGAGGCACGAAAGCGUGGGGAGCGAACAGG
rnacentral:rRNA from 1 species